UACAGAGGUCUCAAGCGUUGUUCGGAUUCAUUGGGCGUAAGGGUGCGUAGGCGGCGCGGUAAGUCGGGUGUGAAAUCUCGGAGCUUAACUCCGAAACUGCAUUCGAUACUGCCGUGCUUGAGGACUGGAGAGGAGACUGGAAUUAUGGUGUAGCGUGAAAUGCGUAGAUAUCAGAGAACGAAGCCUAGUGGAAGGCGGCACUGUCGGAGCUC
rnacentral:rRNA from 1 species